rnacentral:rRNA from 1 species
GACGAACGCUGGCGGCGUGCUUAACACAUGCAAGUCGAACGGUAAGGCCCUUCGGGGUACACGAGUGGCGAACGGGUGAGUAACACGUGGGUGAUCUGCCCUGCACUUCGGGAUUAGCCUGGGAAACUGGGUCUAAUACCAGAUAGGACCACUGCCUGCAUGGGUGGUGGUGGAAAGCUUUUGCGGUGUGGGAUGGGCCCGCGGCCUAUCAGCUUGUUGGUGGGGUGAUGGCCUACCAAGGCGACGACGGGUAGCCGGCCGGAGAGGGUGACCGGCAACACUGGGACUGAGAUACGGCCCAGACUCCUACGGGAGGCAGCAAUGGGGAAUAUUGCACAAUGGGCGCAAGCCUGAUGCGGCGACGCCGCGUGAGGGAUGACGGCCUUCGGGUUGUAAACCUCUUUCAGCACCGACGAAGCGCAAGUGACGGUAGGUGCAGAAGAAGGACCGGCCAACUACGUGCCAGCCGCCGCAGUAA